rnacentral:rRNA from 1 species
UACAGAGGGUGCGAGCGUUGUCCGGAAUCACUGGGCGUAAAGGGCGCGUAGGUGGUGGCUUAAGCGUGCGGUGAAAGCUCGGGGCUCAACUCCGAGUCGGCCGUGCGAACUGGGCUCACUGGAGCAUAGUAGAGGCAGGUGGAAUUCCGGGUGUAGCGGUGGAAUGCGUAGAGAUCCGGAAGAACACCGGUGGCGAAGGCGGCCUGCUGGGCUAUGGCUGACACUGAGGCGCGGACAGCGUGGGAGCAACAGG